CUUCGUCUAUGUAACUCCCGGAAACAGUCCCAGUACUUAGCGACAAACCCACGGACAGUACAGAAACCCACGCGAUAGUGACGUUAUGAGAACUAUGUAUACCCUACUCGCUUUGUCCGUCCUCGUCACCGAUACCGAAAGCAGGGGUAACUACCAGAGCCCCUCCAUUUGUCAGAACCAUUUGAGUGAAGCUUUCUGCAGGGACUUUGCCCAGGACGAAUUUAAUGGCAAUAUGUUAACUUUUUGCGAGGAUAAUCUUUAUUCGAUAACUUGUUGUGAAAUGUGUAAAGGUUAUACUGGAGAUCCCUUUCCUUGAAAUUUGACACACCGGCAUACCGAACAAAGAUCUACAGUGCCAGGAAAGGUUUGCUUCGGAACUCUUUUACGUCUUUUUCAUCAAUAGUGUUUAGCUGCAAUAAUGCGUCAACGAUAGUGUUAUUCAGUCAUAUAGAUUGGAACUGAAUUUCAGAACACAACGCCUUUUGUUCCAGAGGAUGAACAAAGGGCAACAACUCUGGUAAUUCUAGUGUGCAAUUUUCUUCUCGGCAGAUGGAUUUGUACCAAAGUAUGUAGAUGUGAUGAACAAGGAAGAUGUGAUCAGAAUAAGAAAUAACUGAUGCUGAGUCUAUACCAAGAUUCUCUUAAUCUGUUAUGAAGAUGGUGUGUACAAUAAGGUUUGACAGAAAAAAACAACUAAAAUUCUGGCACCUAGCACAAAUGAAAAUUAUGAAAUGAAGAAUAACUCAACCAUUGAAUUGGUUUUUCCGUUAUACUGUGUACAGCAUUUUCAAUGAUUUUUUUUACCAAUUAUAAAGGAUUUUCUCUGUAAUAUUAAACAAAACACAAAAGAAUACAUAUAGACAUGAUUAAUUGUAUUUUAAUUAUUAUGUUCAUGACACAAUUUACAAUGACAACGAAAAAAAUGAAAUGACCAUGCAUUCAAAGUGAAUCUGAAUAGUUUUUAAAAUCUUUUGUCAAAACUGGCAAUUAAAACACUAGGUUUCAGUAAAAGAUGAGAGAUGUUUUGGGAG